rnacentral:rRNA from 1 species
UACGUAGGGCGCAAGCGUUGUCCGGAAUUAUUGGGCGUAAAGAGCUCGUAGGCGGUCUGUCGCGUCGGUUGUGAAAACACAAGGCUCAACCUUGUGCCUGCAAUCGAUACGGGCAGACUAGAGUGCGGUAGGGGAGACUGGAAUUCCUGGUGUAGCGGUGAAAUGCGCAGAUAUCAGGAGGAACACCGGUGGCGAAGGCGGGUCUCUGGGCCGUAACUGACGCUGAGGAGCGAAAGCGUGGGGAGCGAACAGG